rnacentral:rRNA from 1 species
CGCGUGGGUAACGUGCCCCAAUCCUGGGAAUAACCCUCGGAAACGAGGGCUAAUACCGAAUGUGGCCCCCGAUCGGAUGAUCGGUGGCUAAAGGUGGCCUCUUCUAUGCUGCCGGGUUGGGAUCGGCCCGCGUCCCAUUAGCUAGUUGGUGAGGUAACGGCCCACCAAGGCAACGAUGGGUAGCCGGCCUGAGAGGGUGUCCGGCCACACUGGCACUGAGACAAGGGCCAGUCCCCUAUGGGAGGCGCAGGCGGGAAUAGUUCCCAAUGGACGAAAGUCUGAGGACGCGACGCCGCGUGAGCGAAGAAGGCCUUCGGGUUGUAAAGCUCUGUCAGGAGGGAAGAAGGCGCUGGGUGUUAAUAGCACCAAGCGUUGACGGUACUUCCAGAGGAAGCCCCGGCUAAAUACGUGCCAGCAGCCGCGGUAAUACGUAUGGGGCAAGCGUUGUCCGGAUUAACUGGGCGUAAAGGGCACGCAGGCGGUUCGUUUAGUCGAAGGUGAAAUCCCUGGGCUCAACUCAGGAACUGCCUUCGAUACUGGCGAACUAGAGUGGCGUAGAGGAAAGCGGAACUCCUGGUGUAACGGUGGAAUGUGUAGAUAUCAGGAGGAACACCGGUGGCGAAGGCGGCUUUCUGGACGCACACUGACGCUCAGGUGCGAAAGCGUGGGUAGCAAACAGGAUUAGAUACCCUGGUAGUCCACGCCGUAAACGAUGGGUACUAGGUGUCGGGGGUAUCGAUNCCCUCGGUGCCGAAGUCAACGCAUUAAGU